GCGUCCGGUGGAGGAAAGUCCGGGCUCCCAGAGAACACGGUGGCGGCUAACGGCCGCCGGGGGCGACCCCAGGGAAAGUGCCACAGAGAACAUACCGCCUCCGCGCCUUCGGGCUCGGCGGUAAGGGUGAAAAGGUGCGGUAAGAGCGCACCGCGCUUCUGGCAACAGAAGUGGCAGGGCAAACCCCACCGGGAGCAAGAUCAAAUAGGGGUGGGCGCGCGGAGCGGGAAACCGCAGACGCAAGGCGCGUUCUCACGCUACCUGCCCGGGUUGAUUGCACGAGGCGCUUGGCGACAGGCGUCCCAGAUGAAUGGCCGU
rnacentral:RNase_P_RNA from 1 species